rnacentral:rRNA from 1 species
AUUGAACGCUGGCGGCAUGCUUUACACAUGCAAGUCGAACGGUAACAGGCCGCAAGGUGCUGACGAGUGGCGAACGGGUGAGUAAUGCAUCGGAACGUGCCCAGUCGUGGGGGAUAACUACUCGAAAGAGUAGCUAAUACCGCAUACGAUCUAUGGAUGAAAGCGGGGGACCGUAAGGCCUCGCGCGAUUGGAGCGGCCGAUGUCAGAUUAGGUAGUUGGUGGGGUAAAGGCUCACCAAGCCAACGAUCUGUAGCUGGUCUGAGAGGACAACCAGCCACACUGGGACUGAGACACGGCCCAGACUCCUACGGGAGGCGGCAGUGGGGAAUUUUGGACAAUGGGCGCAAGCCUGAUCCAGCAAUGCCGCGUGCAGGAAGAAGGCCUUCGGGUUGUAAACUGCUUUUGUACGGAACGAAACGGCUCUGGUUAAUACCCGGGGCUAAUGACGGUACCGUAAGAAUAAGCACCGGCUAACUACGUG